AUUUCUCGGGCUUGUUCCACGGCGUCAUCUUUCUGACUCUUCGUCUGUCACAAACAAAUUUGUUCCUGAAUAGAGCUGAACUCUCUGUUCCGCUCCGAAUUUCUCGCCUUUGAUUUGUCGUUAGCCCGAUUAUGAGGGCUAAGUGGCGUAAGAAGCGUAUGCGUAGGUUGAAGCGCAAGAGGAGGAAGAUGCGUGCAAGGUCCAAGUAAACCUCGUGGCCUGCACAAGACAAUAUUAUCAUGUUUUGGUAAACAUUAAACGAUAUUGAAACUUUUAUAUUAAAUCAUCUAAACAGUAAUAAACUCUUUCUGUUCAACUUAUAAAA